rnacentral:rRNA from 1 species
GAUGAACGCUGGCGGCGUGCUUAACACAUGCAAGUCGAACGGUGAAGCCAAGCUUGCUUGGUGGAUCAGUGGCGAACGGGUGAGUAACACGUGUGCAACCUGCCCUGGACUCUGGGAUAAGCGCUGGAAACGGCGUCUAAUACUGGAUAUGAGCCUCUAUCGCAUGGUGGGGGGUGGAAAGAUUUUUCGGUCUGGGAUGGGCUCGCGGCCUAUCAGCUUGUUGGUGAGGUAAUGGCUCACCAAGGCGCCGACGGGUAGCCGGCCUGAGAGGGUGACCGGCCACACUGGGACUGAGACACGGCCCAGACUCCUGCGGGAGGCAGCAGUGGGGAAUAUUGCACAAUGGGCGGAAGCCUGAUGCAGCAACGCCGCGUGAGGGAUGACGGCCUUCGGGUUGUAAACCUCUUUUAGCAGGGAAGAAGCGAGAGUGACGGUACCUGCAGAAAAAGCGCCGACUAACUACGUGCCAGCCGCCGCUGUAAUAC